GUUUGCCGCCGAAUACGUCACUCCCAUUUCUUGCGAGAUUUCUUGACUGCUUCAUUUUCUCUGGCGGUUGCCUCGGUCUAAAGGACCGCGGUCGUCAGGCGGCAAGACGCUUUUAAAUACAAGGCUACUCACAAAAUCGACCGGCCAUGUUGGUUUGGACACACAUUCGCAUCAGUUCGUCGCUCAAUCGCGAGUUACAGCCUGCAGUUUGCCAGCUAGCAAAGUCAUCGACUACCAUCGUUUAAGUAAGUACAUGUUUCCUUUUUGUGUAACACAAUAUUAUGUUUACAUUGUUUUUAGUUUAUAUAUUUAAAAUGUGUAGUAAUCUUUGUUCAUGCCUAACUAUCUAAAGUAGCCUUGUUUACGCAAUGUUGUUGGUACAUCUAGAAUUUUAACGAGCUAUAAUAGGUAACAAAAGCUUUACAUCUAGAAAGACUAAGUUUCACUUUUAGUGUUUUCUUACAAAAAUAAUGAUGUAUAUAUGUUGUUUAAAUUAUUUUGUUUGCCUGAACAAGUAUGCUGCUAGUCCAGUAGCUAGAGUGGCUAGUAAGUGUUAGCUAGCACAUGCUGUUUUGCCUUUGUUACAGUACACACUGUGGUUAGCAAGUUUUGUGCUGUGUUGCUACUGUACUGGAUUUAAGGCGAUUCACUUGAAUCACAACACUCUGUGAAUAAAUUUUAUUUUUAACAAUUUCACUGUUCCACAUUUGGCUGAUAAUGUUUCCCCCCCCCACAGCAUAGCUACUGUAUAUUUUCUUGCAGAUACCUUGGCCAGAGCAUAACCAGUUAUCUUCACCCAAGAGACCUACUGUUGGUCAAUCGUUUUGGUCCAUCCAUCUUCUUCCGCUUAUCCGGGGCCGGGUCGCGGGGGCAGCAGUCUAAGCAGGGAUGCCCAGACUUCCCUCUCCCCAGACACUUCCUCUAGCUCUUCCGGGGGGACACCGAGGCGUUCCCAGGCCAGCCGGGAGACAUAGUCCCUCCAGCGUCUCCUAGGUCUUCCUCCUAGGUCUUGACCCAAAGCUCAUGACCAUAGGUGAGAGUAGGAACGUAGAUUGACUGGUAAAUCGAGAGCUUCGCCUUGCGGCUCAGCUCUUUCUUCACCAUGACAGACCGAUACAUCGACUGCAUUACUGCAGAAGCUGCACCGAUCCGUCUGUCAAUCUCCCGUUCCAUCCUUCCCUCACUCGUGAACAAGACCCCUAGAUACUUAAACUCCUCCACUUGAGGCAGGCAAUCGUUUUGGUUUUAAAGGUAAAUGCAUUGUUAGUCACAAUGUCUAGUUACUGGGCCAAAAGGAAAAUAAUAUUGAAAAGAGUUGAGAGGGACAAACAGGACAUUCACUUGAAUCACUACAUGCUACAGAAGUUGCAUCGAUUCCAGAAAACCAGGAAAAUUUUGAGCCAUCUGUAGACUUCAGAGCUGGUAUGUAAAAUGUAUUGCUGUGAUGCUUAAUUUGUGAUCCUGUAACUAAACUAUACACUGUUAGAUUUUCAAAUUUCUGUUCCCUCUUUCUCAGAACCAGGUUUCUCCCCUGUAAUCCAGACUCCACUUCACAGAGCCAAGAGUUUGAUUACAAGUAAGUGAUGUUAUUUGUGACGUUUUUUGGUCUUGGAAACUAUUGCUUCUAUUUAAGAUUAGGAAUUAUUUUAUCCAUAAUCUGUUUUUCAUUAGGGCACUUGACUUUCUGGAUAAAAGGUAUCGAGGUGUGUUGUACAUAUCAUUAGCUUUGCACAGUUCAAUUAUUGUUUCAUUAGCUUUGCACAGUUCAAUUAUUGUUUCAUUACUGAAUAUGCAAUCUCUGCAGUGAAAUUAAAGCUGUUAUGUUUGUUCCCCCAGCUCGUCAUGUACUAAGCUUUACACCACCAGCAGCAAAUUUACCCUGGCAGCAUAUGGGUGAAAACACUGGAGGAGAAAGUAAUCGCUUUGUUAUUGGCCCUUGGACGCCCCUGGCAUCUCAUGUACAGCAUGAAGUUUUCAGCUAUGAAGAUUUCCAGAGACUCCAGAAUGAACCAAGCUCUGAGGGAGGAGAACCAAGCCCUGAGGGAAUGCAUUGCACAAGCAGCUUCGGAUGACAGCGGCUCACUUCAAGAGCAGGUGAAGCAAGUAGGGACAAUGUUGAAGACGUUUGCUCUCACUGGGCAAUCAGGUGCGUUACCUGAAAGGAGCAUCUGACCAUGAAGGCAGAAAAAGCCGCACAGCUGAGAAGGACCCACAGCCGACCCCUUAAACCUAGGCUGACUACUGACACCCCAGCAUCACUGAACUGGAACACUUUCUUUAUCCUGCAGUCAGUAACAUCAAGAAGCCAGAAGUGCCAGACCACACUCACCAAAUCCACCCUGGGUUUUUUUGUUGGUUUUUUAACUUUAGUAUUGGCUUAUUUAAUUCCGUCUUAACGAUUCUAUUAUAGUUUGUAAAUCCUAUUUCAUACCUGUUACUUGAUAUUGCACAUUAACUAGUACCAAAAUUCUACUUUCAUUUCAUCAGUGUGCUUAACUGUUAUUCUAUUAAUAAUAGCUUGGAAAUACUAUUUCGUACCCCUGAUACUUGAUAUUGCACAUAACCUGGUACCAAAUAUUCUACUUACUCUGUUUUUAACAUCAGCAUUUUUCAUUCCAUCACAGUGCUUAACUGUUAUUCUAUUGUUAAAUAUAGCUUGUAAAUCCUUGUGCCAAAGGUCAGCAUUGCUGUUAUAAUGGUCUGUUCUACUACUGUUUUUACCUCUGUAUUUUUAUAUGAAUAUAUAUGUCAAGUUUUGUUUAUCACAGAUACAAGAGACACAAAUCUUGUUGCAGCACGGUGUAAAUCUUGUGCUCCAGGUCAGCAAUGCCAUUAUAACGGUCUAUUCUACUCUAGAGCUUUACUCUAAAUUAUUACCUCUUUUCCUAUUGUUAGAAAUGGCUUGAAAAUGUGAUGUUAUACCUCGAUUUAUUUGGUAUCCUGCACAUUCUUUGAUACCAAAUAUCCUCAUUACUUAUGUUUACUGGUAAAUAUUUUCAUCCCAGAGCUGACCUCUUUAUAUUAUUAACAAUUAUUGUGUUUGUGUUAUAAUUUGCUUGUAUGGCUGUUUUUUAAAAACCAAAAUUUUAUUGGAAACCUG
ensembl:lncRNA